UGCACUUCUUGCCGUGUUGAUGGAAGUGAUUCAGUUUUGCUUUUGAUUAUUAUCACUGCAGGGAGACAAGAGGGCUUACUGUAACAGUGUUUCAGCAGCAGAAACUACUGAAUUCAAGCGUGAAAAAAAACGCCUAUUAUAUUAUAUUUUUGUUUAUUUUAUGUCUCUCUCUUUGUUGCAGAAAAAGCCACAGUAACUCUGAUACAUCGUCAUCAAUGCAUAGGACAUAAUAACAGCCUGAAAAAUCAAAAGAAAAAAAAAAAAAAAAAAGAGAGAGAGAAAAACUCAAAAACUGAAAAAAAAAUUGUAUUUACUUUAUUAUUCACACUUCUGACAGCUGAGGAGAAAAGAGGGGGGUAAGUAGAAGGAGAAGCAAAAAAGCUGAGUAUCUAUUUUGUGGUUAUUAUGAAAGUGGGAUGGUAUGGAGGUGGACGAGAUUGAAAGCCCUGAAUCCAGUUGCAAGUACUCUAGGGUAAACUCAGCCAAUGGUAGAAUAGAUUGUUCGAAGAUAGGAGCAGGAGGAGGAGGUAGUGGAGGUGGUGGGCACGACAACGGCGAAGAAAAUGAGUUGGAUGAGAUUAAUCAAAGGAGAGGGGUUGUGUCCACCAUCGAGGCCGCCGCUGCAGCUGGAAAUGGUAACAGUGGAGGGAUAGGAGGAGAUAUGAUAGUUGGGGGUAGUAAUCGAUUUGGGAGACAAUGGCAACAUUCUUCUAGGAUAAUUAGGGUUUCCAGGGCUUCUGGAGGGAAGGACCGUCAUAGCAAGGUAUGGACGGCUAAAGGUCCAAGGGAUAGGCGUGUUCGUCUUUCGGUAACUACAGCUAUACAGUUUUAUGAUCUUCAAGAUAGGUUGGGGUAUGACCAACCUAGUAAAGCGGUGGAGUGGUUGAUUAAAGCUGCUCAGGAAGCUAUUAACGAGCUUCCGGCUUUAAAUACAGCGAGUUUUCCACCGGAAACUCCCAGGCAGCUCAGUGAUGAGCGGAGAGGUGGUGGAAAUGGUGUGGAUUCAGCUGAUUUGGAGUUAGAUGCUGAUCCUAAUUUUGGUCAGAACCAGAACCAGAACCAGAACCAGCAACAACAGAUGGUUGCCAAAUUAGGGUGCAGUACUAGUAACAAUUCGGAGACGAGUAAAGGAUCCGGCUUGUCGCUGUCUCGGUCAGAGAUCAGGGUUAAGGCGAGGGAGAGGGCGAGGGAGAGGAUGGCGAAGGAGAAAGAUAGAGAUGGUGAGCCGUCCAGGGUUAAUGUUGGUUCGCAUCAGCAUCAUAAUAAUCAUCAUGAUGAACAACAACAUCAUCAGCAUCAGCAUCAGCAUCAGCAUCAGCAUCAGCAUCAUCAGCAACAUGUGAGCUCUAUGCCUCAAACAACUUCUUUCACUCAGUUAUUAACUGCAGGAAUGAACAAUCUGAAUGAGAGCAACAAUGCAGCUGCUGCAAGCUCGACACCUUCGCCACAUCACCAUGGGAGUUCGGAAGUGAGUUUGUUUCACAAACACUCAAGAGGAGGAGAGAGUAACAACAACAACAAUAAUAAUAAUAAUCAAUGGUUGUCAACAGGCUCUAGUACAUCUCCCAUGGCGGAUUACUUUGGGACGGGACUUAUGGGCCUAUCCUCUUCUCGGGCAGGCCAAAUCCAGCUCGGGCACAACACAUCAUCACUCCCCCCGGUGAUGACGAUUACUUCCUUCGGGGGGUCGGAAAAUCAUCAUCAAUCUCAUGAUCAGCUUCACCACCACCACCAACAUUUCCCCUUUUUGCCCGACCAACACCUUAUACAAGUCGCAAACACGGCUUCUCGGGCGAGUGGUUGUGGUGGUGCUGGUGCUGGAAGUACAAGUGAUUAUAACUUGAACUUCACCGUUUCCUCAUCUCCUACUAGUACUACUUCCGGCCUCGCCGCUGGUUUCUAUAAUAGGGGGACCCUUCAGUCCAAUUCACCGUCUUUGUUGCCUUACCUUCAAAGGUUUUCCGCCACAGACGGAUCCAGCUUGCCCUUCUUCCUCGGCAGUGCAGCAGUUCCUUCAGCUUCACCUGCCGUCGAAAAUCACCACAACCACCACCACCACCACCAACAGUUUCAGCCACCUGGGUUGCAGCUUUGCUAUGGUGACGGAGGCUGGCCAUCAGACCAGAAGGGGAAAGGAAAAAACUGACUUUUUCCUCCAAUCAUCCACCAUUAUUCUGCUUUUCCAUUCAGUUUGUGGAACCUGAGUCUAGGGGGCUAAGGAAAACACAUUUGAAAAGCCAGGAGCACAAUGACCUAUGUUGUGUGCAGGUAAACAUUGAUGGAGCAACGUAAAUAGAAGCUCUGAAUCCCUCAAGUGAAUGCAGAUAUGCCUGCUCGUGUACUGUACUUGUGUAUUCAAUGCUUCUGAUUUUGUAUGGAUUCUUAUUUUUCCCAUUUUGAAGUCAAUGGAUUUGGUUGUCAUUGACGUUGUUGAAUUUGUUGAGUUCAAUUUGUUGAUUUAUGCAAGCAAAGAUGUUGAUUCGA